rnacentral:lncRNA from 1 species
GGGACGCCGUCGUCGCCGCCGGCCUGCCCUUCUUCCCCAUAACCCGGGGCCGCAUGGACACCCGCACGCCCGCUCCCGACGUGCUCGGGAACCUCCCGUCGCCAUCCGACUCGGUGGGCAAUCUCCUCGACAUGUUCCGCCGCAAGGGCCUCGGCGACGACCCGCGCGUCCUGGUGGCCCUCUCCGGCGGGCACACCGUCGGCAAGACCAGCUGCGGCCUGAUCAGGGGGAACGACGAUUUCUCCAGGGCCCUGGCGGCCAACUGCUCCGCCAGCCGGAGCAGGAAGCAGAGCCUGGACGUGAUCACGCCGGACGCCUUCGACAACAGGUACUUCGUGGCGCUGAGGAACGGCAAGGGGGUGCUCGGGUCCGACCAGGGGCUGGCCGACCAC